UGAGGAAUAUUGCACAAUGGGGGCAACCCUGAUGCAGCGACGCCGCGUGGAUGAAGAAGGCCUUCGGGUUGUAAAGUCCUUUUGCCACUGACGAGCAAGGACGGUAGGUGGCGAAUAAGCCUCGGCUAACUACGUGCCAGCAGCCGCGGUAAAACGUAGGAGGCGAGCGUUAUCCGGAGUUACUGGGCGUAAAGCGUGCGCAGGCGGUUGAAUAAGUGGGGUGUGAAAUGUCUCAGCUUAACUGGGAGGGCGCGCCUCAGACUGUUUGACUGGAGUGGGAUAGAGGGACGUGGAAUUCCGGGUGGAGCGGUGAAAUGUGUAGAGAUCCGGAGGAACACCGAGGGGCGCAAGGCGGCGUCCUGGGUCCCAACUGACGCUGAGGCACAAAAGCUUGGGGAGCGGAACGGGAUUAGAGACCCCGGUAGUCCAAGCCGUAAACGAUGCAGACUCGGUGUCCGCAACCG
rnacentral:rRNA from 1 species